GUCCCACUACCACUGAGAUCUUACUUAACCCACAUGCUCAGAAAAGAAUGGCCUGAUAAGUAUUCUUAUGGGGCACGGGAACUAAACCAAGUUUGGCGAUGCUACCUAUAGGCCUAACAGUGAGGACUAUUUCCAAAAGAUUCUCAUAGAUGGGAAGGAAUGAGGUGGUGCUGAAUGCUGCACAUUCCCAACAGAGAAACUGAAUAUCCCUCUCCCCAUCCCACACACACUAGCAGGGCUGAAAGGACCCUCGCGAUCCUCCAGUCCCUUCCCUUCAUCUUAGGAGGUAAUAUCAUGGAACACACAAGGGUAGAAACUGCAAGCUGUUUGUCUGCCAGAAUUUCAAUCCAAGUUGCCAUUACUGACUGUAUGAACUUGGGCAAAUUAUUUAACGUCUAUGUGCCUCAGUUUCCUCAUCUGCAAAAUGUAGUUGAUGAUAGCCAUGCUCUACAGUGGAAACCUGGGGAUUAAAUGAGAUGGUAUACAAAAUGCUAAUAGUUCUGGGGACAUAGGGAGUAUUCGGCACAUAAUAACUCUUACUAUUUUUAGAGGACAUUGGGCCUCACAUUCAGUAAGUGAUUUCGGCAGUCAGCAGCCAAACCCUCACCAGUACUUGGUUUUCCGAUUCCUCACUAUUAGUAUGUUCGCAACUGAACCCGGAUGCCUUAAUAACAAUUUAUUCAACGUGUGAGUCAUUCUCCCCCCAGUACUAACACAAGGUACUUUGGGGAAGCUACAGAUUAAACAUGAGAUGGGGGAAGGGGAAUCCUGUUCUAGUGUCCAGGCAACACUAUGGAGCUAAAAACAACAAAAAAUCACCUUUUCUCAGGAAUCAGUGCCUGGAAAGCUAAUCUGGCCAGGCAACAGUUAAUUCCCCAACUCCUCCUUUUUAAUCCAGUCUUGCCUUAAUCCUCCAGCAAGUAAACUAACAGGAAAUGUUAGAAAUCUAGGACUGAUGGAGAUUAACUCACCAGGUGAGCCUUCCAAACACACCGUGGGGACCACAGCACAUUAACCUAGAAGGAAAUCUUCCAUCAAAAAGGACCCUGAUGUCAACUCACUCAAACCUGAAAGCUACAAAAUGGAUUGAUUUAAGAUUGAAAAUGAGCAACUACCUUCGAUCCACCAGCAAAUAGAAUUGCAGUAGUGAGAGGAUUGGGCAUGAAUCCACCAACAUGUACUUUCAUACCUUCUGGAGUCCUUCACAGUAUCCUGGCUGCCAGAUGCAAGUAACUGAUUCAAAACUACAACACAUUUCUAAUGCUUAUUGCAAGACAGUUAAUCAAAGACCAACUCCCCAGGAGCAUCCUACAACUCAUUGAAGUUGCAAGACUGUUGGAGACCUACCCCAGAACGGUAAUAACAUGAAGAUAGACAUGGUUCUGCACAUAUUCCAGGACUCCAUAUUUA